rnacentral:rRNA from 1 species
UGAACCUUCGGGGAACGAUAACGGCGUCGAGCGGCGGACGGGUGAGUAAUGCCUGGGAAAUUGCCCUGAUGUGGGGGAUAACCAUUGGAAACGAUGGCUAAUACCGCAUAAUAGCUUCGGCUCAAAGAGGGGGACCUUCGGGCCUCUCGCGUCAGGAUAUGCCCAGGUGGGAUUAGCUAGUUGGUGAGGUAAGGGCUCACCAAGGCGACGAUCCCUAGCUGGUCUGAGAGGAUGAUCAGCCACACUGGAACUGAGACACGGUCCAGACUCCUACGGGAGGCAGCAGUGGGGAAUAUUGCACAAUGGGCGCAAGCCUGAUGCAGCCAUGCCGCGUGUAUGAAGAAGGCCUUCGGGUUGUAAAGUACUUUCAGCAGUGAGGAAGGUGGUGUACUUAAUACGUGCAUCAUUUGACGUUAGCUGCAGAAGAAGCACCGGCUAACUCCGUGCCAGCAGCCGCGGUAAUACGGAGGGUGCGAGCGUUAAUCGGAAUUACUGGGCGUAAAGCGCAUGCAGGUGGUUUGUUAAGUCAGAUGUGAAAGCCCGGGGCUCAACCUCGGAAUUGCAUUUGAAACUGGCAGACUAGAGUACUGUAGAGGGGGGGUAGAAUUUCAGGUGUAGCGGUGAAAUGCGUAGAGAUCUGAAGGAAUACCGGUGGCGAAGGCGGCCCCCUGGACAGAUACUGACACUCAGAUGCGAAAGCGUGGGGAGCAAACAGGAUUAGAUACCCUGGUAGUCCACGCCGUAAACGAUGUCUACUUGGGAGGUUGUGGCCUUGAGCCGUGGCUUUCGGAGCUAACGCGUUAAGUAGACCGCCUGGGGAGUACGGUCGCAAGAUUAAAACUCAAAUGAAUUGACGGGGGCCCGCACAAGCGGUGGAGCAUGUGGUUUAAUUCGAUGCAACGCGAAGAACCUUACCUACUCUUGACAUCCAUAGAACUUUCCAGAGAUGGAUUGGUGCCUUCGGGAACUAUGAGACAGGUGCUGCAUGGCUGUCGUCAGCUCGUGUUGUGAAAUGUUGGGUUAAGUCCCGCAACGAGCGCAACCCUUAUCCUUGUUUGCCAGCACUUCGGGUGGGAACUCCAGGGA